rnacentral:rRNA from 1 species
AACGAACGCUGGCGGCAUGCCUAACACAUGCAAGUCGAACGAGAUCUUCGGAUCUAGUGGCGCACGGGUGCGUAACGCGUGGGAAUCUGCCCUUGGGUUCGGAAUAACAGUGAGAAAUUACUGCUACUACCAGAUGAUGUCUUCGGACCAAAGAUUUAUUGCCCAGGGAUGAGCCCGCGUAGGAUUAGCUAGUUGGUGGGGUAAUGGCCUACCAAGGCGACGAUCCUUAGCUGGUCUGAGAGGAUGAUCAGCCACACUGGGACUGAGACACGGCCCAGACUCCUACAGGAGGCAGCAGUGGGGAAUAUUGGACAAUGGGCGAAAGCCUGAUCCAGCAAUGCCGCGUGAGUGAUGAAGGCCUUAGGGUUGUAAAGCUCUUUUACCCGGGAUGAUAAUGACAGUACCGGGAGAAUAAGCUCCGGCUAACUCCGUGCCAGCCGCCGCUGUAA